UGUAUUAGAUGAUAAAUAUGCUUUAAAUCCCGUAUUUAAGGGGCUUUGUUAGGUUUUGUUAGAUUGGGUUAAAUUGUGGAGUGGUGAUCACGAUUGGACUUGAACCAACGACCACUACCA
rnacentral:antisense_RNA from 1 species